CUUGCAGCAAAUUCCUAAUACAUUUCCGCACGAGCAAGUGAAAAAGCAGUUGAGCAACACAAACAAAAUUCUGGAGGAACUAAGCAAGUCAAGCAGCGUCUAUGGAAGGGAAAGUCGACGUUUUGGGCCGGAAACCUUCGUCAGGACUGAUAAUCAUUUUGGUUAUAAAGAAACGUACGGAAGUUAACAUCCAGAGAAUGAAAUCUGAUGGCAGAGGAGAAGAAGCUGUUCCUGAAACGCUGAGUACAUGUUUUCAAGCUCCUGUACCUCCUCCCUGAUGGAAGCAAUGAGAAAAGGAGGAUGCAACCACAAGAUUCGUCCUCCCACAAGCAGCCACGAAACAAAGAAACACUGUGGAGUCCAUUCAAAGAAACCAUCAAGCACCCAACGCAAGAAAAAAAAAAGAACAAAUCUUGCAAACACAGAAAAGUGAGCAAAUUACACACACGAUAUUAAACAUCAAACCACAGAGUCUCCGAAACAGUCCAGGAGCUACAGCCACUGAGUUUGCUCAGCUGGCGAUGACUUCAAGCCUGAAAACUAGAGCCAAUUUUGCACGAAAAUGCCUUGACAGAAUGAUGCAAAUAGCAAAAAAAGAGUAACCAGAAACACAUGGAACACUAACCGCAGAGUCCUCCAAAAACAAGUCCACAACCGCGGAGCAUUCUGCAUUUUAUUCUAUUUUAAUGCGCUGUGUAAUGAUUUAUUCUGUAUGAACAGCA